GGAGAGGUGUCCGAGCGGUUUAAGGAGCGCGCCUGGAAAGCGCGUAUGUGGUCACAAGCUGCAUCGCGGGUUCGAAUCCCGCCCUCUCCGCCA
rnacentral:tRNA from 1 species